rnacentral:piRNA from 1 species
UCAUGUCUCAACCAUGCUGGCCUAGAAUUC